UUUCAGUGAAUGUAAGAUGUAUGUUAAUUAUUUGAGGAUCAAUUGUAAAAUUGUUAGCUGAGGAACUAAUUCUAGAUGGCUGGACAGAGCUAAUCAGAUAACAUAGGUCCAGCAGAGUUCUAGUUUGUCUAUUAGAAUUUAUUUUUUUCUCAGUGACUUUAUAGGCUUGUAGACUUUAAAUUAUGUCUGGCAAUCAUCGUUUUGUCCUAAUGGAAUUUUUUAAAUUUUUUUAUUAUUUUAUUUAUUUUAAUAUAUGAG
rnacentral:lncRNA from 1 species